rnacentral:lncRNA from 1 species
AAGCUGGCUGGCUGAGAAUAAGAAAAUACAGUAUGUGAGCACUUGGAGGAGAAACUGUAGGUUGCAAUAGUGGAAGGGAGGAGGAUUUUGAGCAAAAGAAGAAACUUGUGUUGUUAGGAGCUGCGACCACGCUAUUCAUUGCCUGAGUAGCCAAGCAUGUUAAGGGGGAUCCACCUAAUGGGAGGGCAUCAAGACCUGACACUAUUACUGAUGCAAUGGUGUUCUUAUAGAUAGGAGACUACCAUGGCUGUCCUCUGAGAGGUUCAACCAGCUGCUGACUGAGACAGAAGCAAAUACUUAACACCCAACCAUUGGAGGAAAUGAGGGACGUCUAUGGUUGACUUAGGGAAAGGAUGGAAAUAGAAGAAGAUGGCGACCCCAUAAGAAGGUUUCUGCUGGAAAGGAAGACAUCACUUUCUAGAAAUAUCUCUAUGAAAUGGCUCGCACAGACUGUGGACCAGGGAAGGAUGAUGCUACAGAUGCACGGUCUCUCCAAGGCACCAACUGAAUCAAGCAUCUGUGUAGAGAGAAGAGAUUCAGCCCCAAGAUGAGAUCCAGGAAUCUAGGAUGUACUCAGGGAGAUGAAGACUACAGCCUACUCAUUCUGUCACUUUAUGCCCCCCUCUUUCUCCUCUCACUCUCUCAGUAUGGUGCAUUAUAGAACAACAAAGAGAGAAAAGGAAAUGAAGACCAUGAGCCUUGCAUAAUAAAUAUUAACUGAGAAGUACCUGGAUCUUAUGAGAAAUAUAUACCUUAUUAAAAAAAGCCAUGCUCUUCAAACUGGCCAGGAUUUAAGUGAUUUCCAGUGAGUACCUUACAAGAAUUCUUCUCAUGUGUGGAGGAGAAGUUCAACACCAUAAAUGGAUGUGGUACAGCGCCCCAGAGGGAAUUACAAUGAAAGUGAAAUCCAAAGAAUUCCAAGAGAACCACACCUGCAGAUCAUGCUCCAUUCAUUUGUGUACUUCCCCCUACUCAGUCUUUAAACCCACAGUGUAGCAAUUUCCAAAGGGAGCUCAAUGCAUAGAUCCCAGGCCCCUUCAUAUGAGCUCAUGGUUGUAUAAACCUCAGUGUCCAUAUCCUACUGAAACUCUGCCCAGAGGAAAGCAUGUGUUUUCUCAGAACUACUUAUUUUGCUCUUAGAUUAUUUUUAAAAUUUUACUCUUAGAUAUUUAUUGACCUUGAUAAUAUACUAAACUGUUUUUGUUUGUUUGUAUGUUUGUAUUUUAUUGUGGUUAUGUUCUCUUUAAGGUCCAUUACAGUGUUGGAAAACAGUGUAUUCUCUAAAUAAAAAAGAGAAAAAUUUAAAUUAAAAGAU